rnacentral:rRNA from 1 species
GACGAACGCUGGCGGCGUGCCUAAUACAUGCACGUAGAACGCAGUUGCGAACGGGUGAGUAACGCGUAGGUAACUGCCUCAUAGCGGGGGAUAACUAUUGGAAACGAUAGCUAAUACCGCAUACUGUGAGAUGGCCCUGCGUUGUAUUAGCUAGUGUGUGAGGUAAAGGCUCACCAAGGCGACGAUACAUAGCCGACCUGAGAGGGUGGUCGGCCACGCCUGGGAGGAAAAAAGGCCCAUACUGCUACGGAAGGCAGCAGUAGGGAAUCUUCGGCAAUGGAAGGAAGUCUUGCCGGGGAACGCGGCGUGAGUGAAGAAGGUUUUCGGAUCGUAGGGCUCUGUUGUUAGAGAAGCGGAAACUGACCAGAAAGGGACGGAUAACUACGUGCCGGCAGCCGCGGUAAUAC